UGUUACUUUGGCAGAUUAGUGCAAUAGAUUUAGAAUCUUUAUAUGUAUUUAUACAGGUAAUAU
rnacentral:tRNA from 1 species